AGUGGCUUUGUGUGUGUGUGUGUAUGUGUGUGUGUGUGGGGGUGGGCAUAUCAUAGUUAGAGGGUCUGGGUGUCCUCCCACAGGGAAGUUUUGAGCAUCAACAACUUAAUUUCCUUUAUUCGGAU